rnacentral:rRNA from 1 species
CGGACCGGCGCACGGGUGCGUAACGCGUAUGCAACCUACCAUCAACAGGGGGAUAACACUGAGAAAUUGGUACUAAUACCCCAUAAUAUCUCAUGCGGCAUCGCAUGGGGUUGAAAACUCCGGUGGUUGAUGAUGGGCAUGCGUUGUAUUAGCUGGUUGGUGAGGUAACGGCUCACCAAGGCGACGAUACAUAGGGGGACUGAGAGGUUAACCCCCCACAUUGGUACUGAGGCACGGACCAAACUCCUACGGAAGGCAGCAG